CCGAAGACUGUCGAGGGCACAAAGGAGGCGCUCGCGAGCAGACUUAUGAGCGCUAUAAAGACAAAUGGGAAACCCUACAGACUCGUAGACUUGGCGAGAACGCGCAAUUUAAGUCCACGAGACUGCAAGUGCGCCAUUUGGGGCAGGGCCGUUGUCUCAUGAUGUUUGAGCUCCUCCUCCACAGAGUAAAGUGAAACUGUUAGAGCAGGAGCCAUUUUAAGAAGAAAUAUAUAAAUCGCAGGAGGAGAGAAAAUACAGUAGAUUCACUCGUCGGGACACUGUGUUCACAAUGAGUGUCUCAGGGAAUAUAAAAAGUUUGACUCGUGGAGAAUCUCCUAAACCCAGCUGUGUGUCCAUGAAGAGUGAUAUAUCAAUGGAUCCUCCAAUUAACUUCAGUUCAGGAGACUGUGAUGAUACAGAUGUGAGUAACACAACAGAUGGAUCAAAGUCCUUUAAAGGGAAGUACAUGGAUGUUUUUCAGGUAGGUGUGUGUAUGUGUCUUGAUUCUCUUUUGGUUCAAGGGGUAAGGGCCACUUCAAACGAAGAUUUUUCGGUACCACACUUCAAACGAAAGGGUAUGAAAUUUUCCUGCAUGAUUUCCCUUCGGGGAUGUUUUUCAACUCAGACAAAGAUGUUGAAAAGACGUCUUUUGGACAUACAUUUGCAUGGUGAGAUUUUAGUGAUUGUAAAGACUGCAGUGCAUGAGCAUGGAUAACAUAAUGUUAUCGUCCACUGGUGUGAACACAAAUAUAGAUAUUUAGAGCCAUUGAUAAACAGAGUUGCGUCACACUUCGAUCUCGCCGCCGCAUGGUCACGUGGUUCAUGUCUGUUUGAACGGGUUUAAGUGGGACAGACAGUGGUAGCAGCUGUAUUAACAGCUAUUUUUAAAUACCAACACAUUAUAUGCACUGAUUACUAUGUUGAUUACAUUUAUAGUAAUAUUUUGUCUGAUGAGUGCUAGAUAAACUGCAUUAAUCAGUUUUGUGUGUUUAAUUUGACUUCAUAAUUUAGAAUACAUUAACAGUAUAAAUGCAUUUUCUCAUGCGUCCAAGAUCAUCAAUAUAUCCCAAAGUUAAAUUAUGUUAAGACAUUUACAAAAAAUGCACAAGUAAUUUAUUAGGGCUAUAUAAUUGAUACAUUAUAUAAUCGCUUUCCUGUAUAGAGCAUGGCGUUAGCAACACCAAGGCAGAGGCGGAUUAACCAUAUGGGCAAUUGGGCGAGUGCCCAGGGGCACCAAGACUUUAGGGGCACCAAAUAAACCCGCAAUACAAAAUAUAUAUUUUUUAUAAAUGUACAUAAGCACUUGUUUUUAAGACUUAAGUCACGCAUUUGCGCUAAAUAGGCGUGGCACCAUGUGCGGGAAUACCCCCACUUCAGAUAAAAAUGGUUCUGUCCUCCGCACUUUUUCGACACACCUCCGCCAAAAUUCCCGCCCAUGUUAUCUGGUUAGUUACAUAGAUUUGAGUGAAUUAACAUUCAGCCAAUCACAAGUGAGUGUUAUGAGGCGAGUCGUCUUUCGUGUACACUUUAAUCUUCAAACAGAUGGAAGCGGGAACGGUGCAGAGCGCAUUGUUGUAGCGGAGACUAAAAAUGCGGGGAUUAGCACUGAUUAAUAAAUGUAUAUAUAUACAUGGCAUGCGUCAGAUAUAAGAUGUUAGUGCCGAUAAUGUAUGCUAAUAGUACGUGGAGGUAAGGGCACUAUUUAAGGUCCAAACUGAAAGUGAAGAACGGUGUCAUCACUAUAGCAAUCAGUUCAUAUGUGUCCUUUUUAGUGGAGUACACUUUUAUCUUAGUACUUAUGUGAUUGUUUAGUAAGAAGAAUAUACAGAUACUGUGCAUAAAAAGAGCGUUUGAAUAGCUGUAUAGCAGUUAAAAUAGUAACAAUAACGUUUCAUGUUAUUUGAAUAACCUUGCUAUACAUUGUAAUCUGGUGAAUGUCACUUUGGUGAAUUAAAGUCCCAAUGUCCUGAAAAUCUGUACAUGGUUCCUUUAUCCCCCUAUAAUGUGAAUACAUACAUGCAAACUAUAGUGUGUGUGUGUGUCCCUGUACCCCCAUUUUGUGGCACGCACAACAUUUACACCUGUUAAAAAAAUGUUAGUGAUUUUUUUUCACUACAUCAAAACCUGAAAUGUAACAUUACAACAGAAAGCAGGUGCCCCUUAACUACAGUAUGUUAAAAAUACUUAAUAGAAAAGAGUUGUUUUUGUGUUCUGUUCUACAAAAGUGUCAUGUUAAUGUGUAAUUCUUGUAAAAUAGUAUAUUGUAAAUUACUGAGUUUCAUUCUUAUAAAAUCUUUUGAUAUAUAACUCUUUUAAUGAGUGGAUUCUUGCGUGUGAGUUGAUGGGGGGCACCUCUGGGGCUGUUGCCCAGGGGCACCAUGAGGUCUUAAUACGCCUCUGCACCAAGGUCAUUGGUUCAACCCAGGUAUUGCACAUACUCAAAAACAUAUGUAUAGUAUAAUGCAAUAUAAGUCGCUUUGGAUAAAAGCGUCUGCCAAAUGCGUAAAUGUAAAUGUUUUCAUUUAAUGAGAAGUCUUCAUAAAAAAUCAUUCAACCACAGACACUAAAGCCACUUUUAUUUAGUUUUUUUUUUUCAUAAACAUCCUUACAAUAAAAGUCCAGUUUGACAGAGAUUUUUGUCAGAGAUUUUUAUUUUAUCAAUUUACAGGCAAAUGUGUUUAUGAAACACUGAAAUGAAUGGGCUUCAAUGCCAUGUUUGGAACUAUAGAGCCCACCAGUGGCGUCGCUUUUUAGAUGGGCUUUUUAGAUGGGCUUUAGCCACUGUAAAUUUCUAGCUUAGCCCCCUAAAACAUUGUGAGUAAUUAUAUAAUUUGUACAGGAAUUUGAGAUGGCUUUAGUUCACUUUAAAACUCUUAUUAUGAAAACGGCGGCAGGCUGCAUUAUUUAGCGCAUUCAUCAGUUCACAGCGGCACAGAGUGGAGUCAACGUCAUAACCAGAGUACAAGUUGUUUGCAUUAACAUGACAUCUGCAUCUUUGCCAUUCUUUGUUAUAAAUGCAUCUUACAUAAUAUGAUGUGGGGGCGAUACAAAACCCUUUCCCAUCCACUGUAAAAAGUUGUCUGCGUUCACCCCUCGUCACACUAACUAGUUGUUUACCUCCAGCAAAAUGAAAGCACGUCACACAAAUGACAGCAUAGUUUAGAAAACUAUCAUGAUGUUAUUGAAUCGCACAGAAAUUUGUCAUUCAUGAUUUAUUUUUCUCCACCUAGUUAUAGAGAGCUGACGGUAGUUUUGAGAGCGCCGGAAAGACGACGGGCAGAUAGAGUUAUAGUUUAGCCUGGUGCGCAGGGCUGGGAAGGUUACUUUCCAAAUGCAUUUCACUACAGAUUACAAAAUACAUUAAAAAGUAAUUUAACCAUAUUUCGUUAGAUUACACACGUUUUGUAACUUAAUUUAAAUAUUUUAGAAUACUUUAUAAUACUAAUAAGGUACAUAAAACAAAGGGAUCAUCAAACAGAGGACUUGGCUUUCCGCUACUUCCGCUAUAAGUUUUACAGUUUUCCCUAAUUAGACAUUGUAGUCCACAAUUCUAAGAAAAGAAGUCAGAACUGUGAGAAAAAGUCAGAACUGUGAGACGAAAAGUCGCAAUUACCUAAAAAUUACUUAAACAAUAAACUCACAAACAACUAUCACACUCAUUAAGGACAGUACUAAAUAAUAUUAGCAUGCAAUUUCUAUUAACCCCCGAUCCCUCUCAUUUUGUUAAAAAUAUUCAAAUUUUGCAUAUUUGGCAAGGGGUAUGAAACUUAUGAGCAUAACUGCUUUUUAUAAUGCUUUUGCAGAUUGUCAGAGUUAGAGAAUCACCAAUUUCUGUUUACAUGAAUUACAUGAAGUUACUGUUUAUUUUAAUGUUAAAAUGAAAUAAAUGACAUUAAAAUUCCAAGUAAUCACUUUGGCAAUCUAAAAUACUUUUUGGAUGUAACUGUACUUUGAUUACCACCCUUUUAAAAGUAACUGUAAUGAAAUACAGUUACUCAAAUUUUGUAUUUUAAAUAUGUAACUGUCAUGAUCCUGCCUCGUCUUGCUUUUCUAGUCUUGUGGCAGGGUCAUGACAGCCCCACGUUUUGUGUGGAGGCGCAUGGUCAUUGUUUGUUUAUGAUAGCCAUGCACUCUCCUGUCUCUUCUUUUGACCUCGCCCCCUCGUUUAGCUUCCCACCAGUGUUUGAUUCCCCACACAUGCCUAUUGUUAAUUAUUCCGUGUUAGUUUCCCUAUUUAAUGCUCUUGUGUUUGCUGUCCUGUUUUGCAAUGUAUUUUACACUUACCUCGUGUCCAGAUUCUUGCACUCCCAGUCUUGUCUAGUUCAUGAGAAGUGUUUAGUUUAGUUAUACUGUCUCUCCCUUGUUUUGCCCCCUUGUGGGAAGUCUUUGUUUUGAAGUUUAUCAUUGUUCACAACUCAGUUUUUCAAUGGCUCUAUAAUUAUUGUCACAAUUAUUUAUAUAAUGGCCUUUAUUUAUUGUGAUUUAAUGUAAUUAACUGCAUAGCACAAUCCAUACUUUGACUUUAUUUACAGUAUAAUUGACAUUAUUAACAGUUCACACAGUUGUGUAGAUUUACUUGUAGA